GCUAACCAAAACACAGCCAGUCCUAACAACCCUGCGCCAAUGAUUGUCCCACGUCCCAGGAAAUUUCCCACCUACAAGGCAGGUGAUGACACUGAGGCCUUCUUAGAAAAUUUUGA